rnacentral:rRNA from 1 species
GCGAACGCUGGCGGCAGGCUUAACACAUGCCAGUCGAGCGGGCACUUUCGGGUGUCAGCGGCGGACGGGUGAGUAACGCGUGGGAACGUGCCCUCUGGUUCGGAAUAACUCAGGGAAACUUGAGCUAAUACCGGAUACGCCCUUUUGGGGAAAGGCUUGCUGCCGGAGGAUCGGCCCGCGUCUGAUUAGCUAGUUGGUGAGGUAACGGCUCACCAAGGCGACGAUCAGUAGCUGGUCUGAGAGGAUGAUCAGCCACACUGGGACUGAGACACGGCCCAGACUCCUACGGGAAGCAGCAGUGGGGAAUAUUGGACAAUGGGCGCAAGCCUGAUCCAGCCAUGCCGCGUGAGUGAUCAAGGCCUUAGGGUUGUAAAGCUCUUUUAUCCGGGACGAUAAUGACGGUACCGGAGGAAUAAGCCCCGGCUAACUUCGUG